rnacentral:rRNA from 1 species
GAUGAACGCUGGCGGCGUGCCUAAUACAUGCAAGUCGAACGCAUAGCGAAAGGUGCUUGCACCUUUCAAGUGAGUGGCGAACGGGUGAGUAACACGUGGACAACCUGCCUCAAGGCUGGGGAUAACAUUUGGAAACAGAUGCUAAUACCGAAUAAAACUUAGUGUCGCAUGACACAAAGUUAAAAGGCGCUUCGGCGUCACCUAGAGAUGGAACCGCGGUGCAUUAGUUAGUUGGUGGGGUAAAGGCCUACCAAGACAAUGAUGCAUAGCCGAGUUGAGAGACUGAUCGGCCACAUUGGGACUGAGACACGGCCCAAACUCCUACGGGAGGCUGCAGUAGGGAAUCUUCCACAAUGGGCGAAAGCCUGAUGGAGCAACGCCGCGUGUGUGAUGAAGGCUUUCGGGUCGUAAAGCACUGUUGUAUGGGAAGAACAGCUAGAAUAGGAAAUGAUUUUAGUUUGACGGUACCAUACCAGAAAGGGACGGCUAAAUACGUG